rnacentral:rRNA from 1 species
CACGUAGGCAACCUGCCCACAAGACAGGGAUAACUACCGGAAACGGUAGCUAAUACCYGAUACAUCCUUUUCCUGCAUGGGAGAAGGAGGAAAGGCGGAGCAAUCUGUCACUUGUGGAUGGGCCUGCGGCGCAUUAGCUAGUUGGUGGGGUAAAGGCCUACCAAGGCGACGAUGCGUAGCCGACCUGAGAGGGUGAUCGGCCACACUGGGACUGAGACACGGCCCAGACUCCUACGGGAGGCAGCAGUAGGGAAUCUUCCGCAAUGGGCGAAAGCYUGACGGAGCAACGCCGCGUGAGUGAUGAAGGUUUUCGGAUCGUAAAGCUCUGUUGCCAGGGAAGAACGUCUUGUAGAGUAACUGCUACAAGAGUGACGGUACCUGAKAAGAAAGCCCCGGCUAACUACGUG